rnacentral:rRNA from 1 species
GUCCACGCCGUAAACGAUGGAUACUAGCUGUUGGGCGCAAGCUCAGUGGCUAAGCGAAAGUGAUAAGUAUCCCACCUGGGGAGUACGAACGCAAGUUUGAAACUCAAAGGAAUUGACGGGGGCCCGCACAAGCGGUGGAGCAUGUGGUUUAAUUCGAUGAUACGCGAGGAACCUUACCAAGGCUUAAAUGUAGAUUGACAGGACUGGAAACAGUUUUUUCUUCGGACAAUUUACAAGGUGCUGCAUGGUUGUCGU